rnacentral:sRNA from 1 species
UCUUUCCUCUCCAGUUGCUACUAGGCUGCUGGUUUUCGCCUUGAUUGUGAGGAGAGGUGGUGGGAAUAGAACAAGUUAAAAUGCCACAAAGCUCUGAGAGGUGGUGGGAAUAGAGCAAGUUAAAAUGCCACAAAGCUCUGAGUUCUCACCAAGAUUCAGCUUUUUUUUUUUUUUUUUUUUUUUUUUUCUGAGAAAACACUCCUUGAAUUGCUGCAAGCUUUGGUUAAGUUCUGAAAGUUAAUUCUGACUGACCAUUUUUGCCAGUAUUCUCAUUGCUUCUAUGGAGAAGAUGAUCUUUGGAGAUUUCCUAACCCCAUCAUUUGUGCUGAUGUCACCCUAUCCUCUGUGUUUUAAAGGGUUUGCCUGGUGAUCCUGGUUACCCUGGUGAACCUGGAAGGGAUGGUGAAAAGGGCCAAAAAGGUGACACUGGCCCACCUGGACCUCCUGGACUUGUAAUUCCUAGACCUGGGACUGGUAUAACUAUAGGAGAAAAGGGAAACAUUGGGUUGCCUGGCUUGCCUGGAGAAAAAGGAGAGCGAGGAUUUCCUGGAAUACAGGGUCCACCUGGCCUUCCUGGACCUCCAGGGGCUGCAGUUAUGGGUCCUCCUGGCCCUCCUGGAUUUCCUGGAGAAAGGGGUCAGAAAGGUGAUGAAGGACCACCUGGAAUUUCCAUUCCUGGACCUCCUGGACUUGAUGGACAGCCUGGGGCUCCUGGGCUUCCAGGGCCUCCUGGCCCUCCUGGCCCUCACAUCCCUCCUAGUGAUGAGAUAUGUGAACCAGGCCCUCCAGGCCCCCCAGGAUCUCCAGGUGAUAAAGGACUCCAAGGAGAACAAGGAGUGAAAGGUGACAAAGGUGACACUUGCUUCAACUGCAUUGGAACUGGUAUUUCAGGGCCUCCAGGUCAACCUGGUUUGCCAGGUCUCCCAGGUCCUCCAGGAUCUCUUGGUUUCCCUGGACAGAAAGGUGAAAAAGGACAAGCUGGUGCAACUGGUCCCAAAGGAUUACCCGGCAUUCCAGGAGCUCCAGGUGCUCCAGGCUUUCCUGGAUCUAAAGGUGAACCUGGUGAUAUCCUCACUUUUCCAGGAAUGAAGGGUGACAAAGGAGAGUUGGGUUCCCCUGGAGCUCCAGGGCUUCCUGGUUUACCUGGUACUCCUGGACAGGAUGGAUUGCCAGGGCUUCCUGGCCCGAAAGGAGAGCCUGGUGGAAUUACUUUUAAGGGUGAAAGAGGUCCCCCUGGGAACCCAGGUUUACCAGGCCUCCCAGGGAAUAUAGGGCCUAUGGGUCCCCCUGGUUUCGGCCCUCCAGGCCCAGUAGGUGAAAAAGGCAUACAAGGUGUGGCAGGAAAUCCAGGCCAGCCAGGAAUACCAGGUCCUAAAGGGGAUCCAGGUCAGACUAUAACCCAGCCAGGGAAGCCUGGCUUGCCUGGUAACCCAGGCAGAGAUGGUGAAGUAGGUCUUCCAGGUGACCCUGGACUCCCAGGGCAACCAGGCUUGCCAGGGAUACCUGGUAGCAAAGGAGAACCAGGUAUCCCUGGAAUUGGGCUUCCUGGACCACCUGGUCCCAAAGGCUUUCCUGGAAUUCCAGGACCUCCAGGAGCACCUGGGACACCUGGAAGAAUUGGUCUAGAAGGCCCUCCUGGGCCACCCGGCUUUCCAGGACCAAAGGGUGAACCAGGAUUUGCAUUACCUGGGCCACCUGGGCCACCAGGACUUCCAGGUUUCAAAGGAACACUUGGUCCAAAAGGUGAUCGUGGUUUCCCAGGACCUCCAGGUCCUCCAGGACGCACUGGCUUAGAUGGGCUCCCUGGACCAAAAGGUGAUGUUGGACCAAAUGGACAACCUGGACCAAUGGGACCUCCUGGGCUGCCAGGAAUAGGUGUUCAGGGACCACCAGGACCACCAGGGAUUCCUGGGCCAAUAGGUCAACCUGGUUUACAUGGAAUACCAGGAGAGAGGGGGGAUCCAGGACCUCCUGGACUUGAUGUUCCAGGUCCCCCAGGUGAAAGAGGCAGUCCAGGGAUCCCCGGAGCACCUGGUCCUAUAGGACCUCCAGGAUCACCAGGGCUUCCAGGAAAAGCAGGUGCCUCUGGAUUUCCAGGUACCAAAGGUGAAAUGGGUAUGAUGGGACCUCCAGGCCCACCAGGACCUUUGGGAAUUCCUGGCAGGAGUGGUGUACCUGGUCUUAAAGGUGAUGAUGGCUUGCAGGGUCAGCCAGGACUUCCUGGCCCUGCAGGAGAAAAAGGUAGUAAAGGAGAGCCUGGCCUUCCAGGCCCUCCUGGACCAAUGGAUCCAAAUCUUCUGGGCUCAAAAGGAGAGAAGGGGGAACCUGGCUUACCAGGUAUACCUGGAGUUUCAGGGCCGAAAGGUUAUCAGGGUUUGCCUGGAGACCCAGGGCAACCUGGACUGAGUGGACAACCUGGAUUACCAGGACCACCAGGUCCCAAAGGUAACCCUGGUCUCCCUGGACAGCCAGGUCUUACAGGACCUCCUGGACUUAAAGGAGCCAUCGGUGAUAUGGGUUUUCCAGGGCCUCAGGGUGUGGAAGGGCCUCCUGGACCUUCUGGAGUUCCUGGACAACCUGGCUCCCCAGGAUUACCUGGACAGAAAGGCGACAAAGGUGAUCCUGGUAUUUCAAGCAUUGGUCUUCCAGGUCUUCCUGGUCCAAAGGUAAUCUUUGGCAUAUACUUUUAGGCACAUACUUGAGCAGAUAUGAAAUUUUUUAAUACUAUGCUCAUUCCUAAGUUUUCAUUAAACAAACUAUAGAAUGACAUAGUAUAUUCUGGAUAAGAGAUUUAUUCCUUUUCUUUUCUCUUAGAUGAUAAGAAGAUAUGUUUUAGGGUUUGUGGCCAGUCCAAAAUAAAAAGGGAAACUUUGUUUUUUUUUUGUUUUUCUUCUAUCUUAAUUUCUGGAUAUACUUCAAUAAUCUCAAUGCCUAGAUUUUUCUGGUCUUGUUAGUCCAUCCCUUUUUAGUGAUGGAGUUGUUGGCCUUUGUCCUAAUAUUAUUAUUAACUAAUUUGAAAAGACUUAUAAACAAAGUGACAGUUAAUGAUAAUGUAGUAGUAUUCUUAACUGUGUGUCUGAGAUAGUCCUCUGGAUACAGUUUUACAAUUCCCUCUACUUCUCUCUUCAAUGUGAAAACUUUGGUGAUGUUUCUCAAGUAAUCAAAUUUAGAAUUUGUUUCAGAAUCAUUGGACUCAACAGGAAUUUAUUUGACAAUUGUUUAGUUCCAUGUCCAAAGGUAGUAACUCCUUAAUCAUGUAGUCAGACCACAGACCUAAAAAGUAUUAGAAAAGGAAUUUUGAUACUCAGCUUUCAUGGAAAUAGUGAAAGUUCCCAGUGAUAUAAGAAUUUACUGAAUUAUAUGUAAAGAUAAUUUUUCUUUUAAUAUUAUAUAAAAAUAAUUUAUUUUGAUCAUCUAAUUGAUCAAUGUCUUAUAAAGAGAUAAUCAAGAGAAGUUUCUGCAUGUUCAUUCCAGUUUAACAAUGUAAAGUUUCUUGAAGUGAAUUUUAAUUUUCUCUGUUAUAUUUAUAUUUUACCAGUGACAUAUGAAUAUAUGAUUUUAUUAAAAAAUAAUAUAGACAUAUUAA